CCACACUCUACACUCUCUAAGUGGUGUAAUGUAGGAUUCAAGGUCAGGCGCUUCUCCCCAGUUUCCUCGAUCUGUUAGGGUGAGGAGCUGAAAUGUGCAUAAGGGGUCGGUGUGCACUUUGGGAGACGCUCCUUUCUCUACCUCCCUUCUUAAACGCCUCUCUUCUCAGGAGCAGAGUGCAACCAGCUUGAUUUUAAAACAAAAUGGCGACAGCCUAAUAGGGGGAAGGACGAGCGACGGCGGGAAGUGCAGUAACGAACUUGAAGAUAUGAGUCGUCGUCCUGAGAAAGUACUGCUGCUACUAUGUCUGAUCUGAAGCCAAAUGCACAAGAGGACAAAGAUGCAGAAACGUCGUCUGACAGCCCGGGUCGUACUCAGGAGCCAUUACAGAGUCACACUUUCUCCCUGAAGAACAAUGCUGCAGGUCUGUCCUCAGAUGAACAUGAAAACCCUUUAAAUGGAACCCAGCCGAAUCCAUUUGUAUACAGCAGUGUCCCUGCUGUUCCCCAUGCAGGCAAUUCAUUGCCUUCAGGAGCACUUGUUAAUGGACCUGGUUCACACCCCACCUCAGAGGUACACUGUGUCCUGAACAAAGGCACUGUUUUAUCCAACAAUGUCCUGGAUGCCGUGUGGCAGGCGGAGAAGGACACGAGCCCUGAGGUGUUACAACCACCUAGUGAGCUUCAAUCAGACGCUUGGAGGAGCACAGCGGGGCCCGCCGUAAAAACACUGGCCACACAGCCAUGUGUCAACACGCCACUGUCUCACUCGGAGGAGAAUGAGUCUAAACUGGCCUUUUCCACACUGUCAGGUGACAGUGCAGAGCAAAUGCACAUUAGCCAACCUUCAACAAAGCAGACAAUAAAAGCAAGAUCUCGACGGAACAUAGAAUGGUCAGAGAGCUCCUCGGAUGAAUAUGAUGAUGCUGAGGUAAUCAGAUGGGAGGUAGCAAGAGAGCAUUUCUUGCACAAUGGCAGAAGGCUGGAGACCGAAGUGAUGCACCAAACAGACAGGAAGCGCUAUGCACAUGUAAAAAGAGCGUCAGGCUCCCUAGAAAAGGGUAACAACAGCUUGUAUUGCACAUACAGACAUUUCUGCAGUAGUGAUGAUGGUGAAAAUGUUGACAUUGCCAACAAGGAUGGCUCUUUAAGUACACAGACUGAUAUUAAAUAUUCUGUUGCACCAUUCAAAGAUCUUCCUAAGAACACAGCUUUAGACUUUGGGUACCAUAUUUCUAGCACAACACAGGAAGGGUGUAAUGAAAAUGACCCUGAACAUGAAGACAAUUUUAGUCCAAAAGUGGAUCAGCUGAAUACAGAGCAGCUGGAACAAGAUCCACUUUUCUUUUCAUGCACAAUAUGUAAUGUUAGUUUCAAAGAAAAAAGGCAUUUCCACAGACAUAUGAUGUAUCAUUUAGGCAAGCAUAAUCAGGUGAACAGCGAGAAUGUUUCGCAGCCCUUUUUAUGCAGGGAGUGUGGGCGUGUGUUCUGUGAUAGCUACUCCCUCAUGAGGCACAUCAUUAUUCACCAAGACAGGCUUGAAAAACCUGUGGAGGAAAUCAAUGGUCUCAAAAAGACUGAAUUUGAAGACAGGCCCACCACAGUACAGCGCCCUCAGUGUGUACUUGGUUGUAAUUCCCAGAAAAUCUUUGUCCAGCACGCCAAAACACAAGAUAAUCUGAAGCACUACUACUUCUGUGAAGAGUGUAACUACAUUACCCUGACACAGCAGGCACUUGAAGCACACUUGCAGGUUGCACACCUCACCACAUACCAGCCUCAAAACAGGAAAAUGACUCAUACUAAUGAUGCAGAGGAAGCAGACCACGUUCGGCUUCAGUGUGAAAUGGGUUUUUUCUCUAGCAGAGACCAAGUAGUAUUGGGAAGAUGUUCUGAGCUGGAAAAUCAGCGACCACAUUAUGGUCAUUUUAAAAUAAUUGCUGGCCAGCCAAAAAUUGCUAGGUGUAAGCCGAGCACAUUUAAGUCUGCUCUUAGAGAAACAGCCCAUCUCCCCCACAGCACCAAUAAAUUAGAGGACACUUAUAUUCACAAGUCCAGUGACAAAACUGUAAAUUCUCCUCUGUUCGAGUACCAUGUUGGUUGCACCAAAAACAUGCUGUCGUCUUUGUGGACGAUUGACAAGCAUGGAAAAUUACUCCUACAACCAGUAGAAAACCUCGAUGUGGCAACCGAUCUCACCUGUGUGGAAGGAGACACUGAAAACAGUGACUGCAAGGCUUUUGGCAGCUUAAAGCAGGCAAACUGUGCUGCAACCACUGAUUUUUUACUAUCAGCCAGAAAUCUUAAAUUAGACCAGAUGUUCUGUCAGGGCCGCGAGAAUGGCCCUGCAAGUGAGAGUUUACAAGUGCAAACAAACCAACAUUCCCCAUCAGUGAGUAAAAUGCCAACACCUUUGCACAACACUAUUGGCAAUCUGAAUGAUAAUAUAUUGCCAAAGCUUAGCCAGAGGCUUCAGAAACAGUCUACAGUUAUGGAGUUUGAGCAAGGCUGUGAGGGUAGCAGUAACUUCAGUAAGGACAACAGUGAAGCUCCAGUCAGUUCCUUGGAAAGCACCAAGAAUGAAAGGAAUCCUUAUGCCCGGAGGUAUUUCAGAAAGAGGCAGAGGUUUUCUGACAAAGACCCAAACCCUCCUGCACUCCAGGAUGAAGAUGGUGGAGAAGAAGACUGCAGUGACAUAGAGCAACUCAUAAUCAAGGAGGAGUACAUCGACGCUACAGCGUGCGAUGAUUCCCCAGAAUCUCCUUGUGUGGCUACAAGUAACAACUUUGAUGUUUUCCCCACACAAGUGGCAGAACACAAGCCCUGUCCAUACUGCCCUGCAGUGUUUGAGUCUGGGGUGGGUCUGUCUAAUCAUGUGCGAGGGCACCUUCAUCGAGUUGGCCUGAGCUAUAAUGCCCGGCACAUGGUUUCACCAGCACAAGUGGCGUUGCGGGACAAUCAGCUCCAAAUACGCAGAAGGAUCUCUGCUGGCACAAAGAAAAUGAGAAAAGCUGCCAAGCCAGAGACCCAAGGAGAGCACACAUGUCCCCUGUGUUGGGGUUGGUUUGAUACUAAGACUGGCCUCUCCAACCAUGUGAGGGGACACUUGAAACGAAUAGGCAGAAGUGUUAGCAGCUCCAGUAAGUCACCACUGUGCAUCCUAAAUGAACUGCUACAGGACGAAAGAGAGCAUCGGAACAUCCUCCAACUCCUUAAGAAGAGCCGGUUUCCUCCACAACCUUUUGUCUCUCAGAAAUUUAUCAGCAGCAAUGGCUUGUUUCUGAUGAAAACUGGAAUCCCAGUAAAAAUUCAGUAUGGGAUGAGGAUUCCAUAUCCCAUACUGGAUAGCUUGGUACCAAAACAGGAAGUAGGGGCUUUCUCAGAGAGGAAGAAGCUUAAAGUAGAGGCACUAAGUGGCACCAAAGCCUCUUUGGGCACUUUAGUUGAACUGUUCCAGACAAGAGAGGAAGAUGUGGAGCUUACAGUAAGAAACAACCAGGAAGCCUAUGCAACCAGGAAGUUCUGUGAUAUGGCCAAAGAAUACAAGGAGGAGAUACAAAUGAGCAGUGUGGCAACACAGUGGACUCACAAGAAAUAUGAUUCAAAUGGGAUUUGUAUUCAGUAUAACAGCACCUUCCCCGCUGCUGUGAGUCUGCCUGGUCACUGUCAAGCCUACGCAUGCAGCAAGAGAGUUGCUGUUUUGGAAGAACUAGGCUAUGAUUAUAAACUGAAGAAGCCAAGACCAAGGCCUGGGCUAAAACAGAAGAUUUUACCUUCCUUGAGUGCGGAGAUAUACACACUCACCUGCAGGUUCUGUGACCUAGUCUUUCAGGGUCCCCUGUCUGUCCAGGAGGAUUGGAUCAGGCAUUUACAGAGGCACCUUCUGCACACCAGCGUGCCCCAUGCAGGGACAGGGAUGGUGGAGGUUUUGGGUCUUCAUCACAAAAUAGAAAUAAGCAUGUCUCGUAGACAGCCAAACCUUAUGUAGAAUUGCAUCACUCUGGAUCGCCCACUAUGUACAGUAUGGUUAAUACAUUAUUUUAAUCUGCAACGGUUUAUAGGAGUAUAUAACAAUUAAACCAGAUUGUUUUCAACAGCAUAUAUUAAUAAUAAUGUAUAUAUCAGCAAAAAAUUAUUGCUAUGGUUUGCCUUGUCAGAUACACUUAUACAAAUUAUAGGAUUUCUCUUUACUGCCGGCUAUAUACAGUAAGUUACUUAGGCACAACAGUGGCAGUAUGGGCAGCAACAAGGCUUCACUAUAAUCUGGUCUGAGAGUGCAGAACUGCUACUGGUAAAAAAUAUAUACAUGUUUUCAUGUGUUAGUCAUCAUAAGAAGUGCCUUGUCAUUAUGACAAAGCAUUUCGUUAUAAUGGCAAAGUGUUACAUUAUAAAGUGAAAAUAUGUAACUUUUUGUGCCAAAAGCAGAAACCUUUCUCAUUUUAAAAAGAAACAUUUCUCAAUAUCCUUCUCACUUUUUAUGAGAAACUGGGCAUUUGAAUUAAGUUCUUGUCUUAUUUUCCUGGACAUAAAAUGAAAUUGUGCUUGUGCUAAGCAGUGUACAGGACAUGGGACUGUCAUUAGUUUGCAGAUGCUCUGUAGGAUUUCACCUCUUUGAGUCUGCAUUGGAUAGAAACUCUCUUAAUCAAAGUGACAUUCAAGAUGCUGCAUAAUGUUAGAAUGACUUGUUCUGUCAUUGUUUGUUCUUCUGCUUGACCUUCAGCCAUCAGUGUCAUUUCUGAAAUCUGGCUCCCUUUACAGCCAUGACAUCGUCUUUUUGUGAUGGAAAAAUCUUUAGUUAUGACAAGUAAACUUUCCACAUAUAAGAUGGAAACAGUAGAUAGAUGCUUUAUUGAUCCUGGGGGAUAUUAAUUUAUUAAAAAUUAAAAAUUGAUAUAACCAAUGGCAGUACAGUACAUGCAGUGACUGUUCAUAUGCUGUAGUUAGAAACACUUCCAUGAAGGUUAACUGGUUGGUAGCUUCCCUAAUGUUGUGUGUUAUAUUUAAUAGGUUGACAUUGGUUCAUCAUUUUGGUUUAGACUAAAAAUAACUUGACAAAUACUGAAUGGAUUCUCAUUGCGUUGAUGUCCCCAGAGGCUAAAUCUUGUUUCUUGGGUGACUGAUAUCUCAUUGCUUUGAGUGAAGUAUCUUAACAACCAUUGGAUGUAUGGCAAUGAAUCUAAUGGAGAUAAUGCAAUUAUCUGAAAUUCAGGAGCAGGAUCUGACCUGAACUAUGCCCCUUCUCUUUUGCCUGUUUCUUCUAUCCCUGCUGGGAGUCUGCCAGUGCCUGAGAGUGGUGUGGCCCUCCGUAACCAUCACAUGCACUAACAACGACGUAUACACAAGCACUCCGUGUCCAACUUUUCCAUUCAGAAAGUUGUGCAGACAUUCUGGUCGGAGGGGUAACGGCCCUCUACGGGACUUGGAGAAAACGCCGG